AUUUUUAGGUUUAGGACUUUUCUUCAAUCCUCAUUUCCAACCGCCACCACCACACUACCCACAACCUUCCUCCUUGCUCGAGUUCCACCAUUAAUGGUGAACUCCGAGCUGACAUACAACCUAACCCCUUCAUUCUCCCUCUCCUCACCAUUUUUCAACAACCAGCAACCAAAAUGAAGUUCACCUUACCGGACUUCAACAGCUUCCCCCACUGCCAGAUUCCAACCAAAAACCCCCUUUCUCCCUCAAAACGAGCUCAAGCUCGUAGGGAAAAUCAAACAGAUCAAGCUCCAACCAGAUUCAACUCCAAACCCACUGAAAAAACCACCCACCGCCGGACAACAACCAGACCAACCACCAAACCAGCGACUAAAAAACAUCGGAAACCACCUCCACAACCUCCAAAACAGACCAACGACUCUCUCCGAGCGGAUUCCAGCAAACUGGAGCAAAUGACAACAACACAACAUCGAUUUCCAAUAGGAAACUCACAACCACCGUCCCCGGGGAACAAACCACGCAACCAGUAACCACUGGAACGCCACCACGGUCCGACGAAAUGGAUCUCCAAGCUCCGAAAAAACUCUAAUCAUCAUCAAUGUUGGUACCUCGAAGUCACUUCUCAUCGAAGCCAUUCGAAUAAAGUUUGAAUGUUAUAUUCAUAAUUAUGUAUAUUGUUGACGAUAGACAAAUAUUAAGUCGUUUCUCAUAUUACUUGUUUACUUUAUUAUGUGUGUAUAUUGCAUGUUUGUUAUAUUU